rnacentral:rRNA from 1 species
GACGUAGGGCGCGAGCGUUGUCCGGAUUUAUUGGGCGUAAAGAGCUCGUAGGCGGCUUGUCGCGUCGUCCGUGAAAACUUGGGGCUCAACCCCAAGCUUGCGGUCGAUACGGGCAGGCUAGAGUUCGGUAGGGGAGACUGGAAUUCCUGGUGUAGCGGUGAAAUGCGCAGAUAUCAGGAGGAACACCGGUGGCGAAGGCGGGUCUCUGGGCCGAUACUGACGCUGAGGAGCGAAAGCGUGGGUAGCGAACAGG